UACGUAGAGUGCAAGCGUUGUCCGGAAUUAUUGGGCGUAAAGCGCGUGUAGGCGGUCUGUUAAGUCUGAUGUGAAAGCCCCGGGCUCAACC
rnacentral:rRNA from 1 species